rnacentral:rRNA from 1 species
UACGGAGGUGGCAAGCGUUGUUCGGAAUUACUGGGCGUAAAGAGCUCGUAGGCGGUCUGUCGCGUCGGAUGUGAAAACUCGGGGCUCAACCCCGAGCCUGCAUUCGAUACGGGCAGACUAGAGUUCGGUAGGGGAGACUGGAAUUCCUGGUGUAGCGGUGAAAUGCGCAGAUAUCAGGAGGAACACCGGUGGCGAAGGCGGGUCUCUGGGCCGACACUGACGCUGAGGAGCGAAAGCGUGGGGAGCGAACAGG